AAGACUAUAGACCUGCGGAGUACCUGCGGAGGGAUCAUUACAGUGUUUUGUUGUGGCCUGCCCUCCCGAGGGCAGUGCCCCGAAACCCCACCCUUGAUUACUGUACCGUCCGUUGCUUCGGCGGGCCGCGCCCGCCGGAGGACAAUCUGAACUCUUUGUGAUAUUCGGCCGUCUGAGUGAUUUUUGAAUCGUUAAAACUUUUAACAACGGAUCUCU
rnacentral:misc_RNA from 1 species